rnacentral:rRNA from 1 species
UACGUAGGGGGCAAGCGUUGUCCGGAAUUAUUGGGCGUAAAGAGCGCGUAGGCGGUCCGGUAAGUCGGUUGUGAAGUCGGGGGCUCAACCCUCGGAUGCCGAUCGAUACUGUCGGGCUAGAGUCCGGAAGAGGCGAGUGGAAUUCCUGGUGUAGCGGUGAAUGCGCAGAUAUCAGGAAGAACACCAAUGGCGAAGGCAGCUCUCUGGGACGGUACUGACGCUGAGACGCGAAAGCGUGGGAGCGAACAGG